UUCCUACGGGACGCAGCAGUGAGGAAUAUUGGUCAAUGGACGAGAGUCUGAACCAGCCAAGUAGCGUGAAGGAUGACUGCCCUAUGGGUUGUAAACUUCUUUUAUAUGGGAAUAAAACGUUCCACGUGUGGGAUUUUGUAUGUACCAUAUGAAUAAGGAUCGGCUAACUCCGUGCCAGCAGCCGCGGUAAUACGGAGGAUCCGAGCGUUAUCCGGAUUUAUUGGGUUUAAAGGGUGCAUAGGCGGGAUGCCAAGUCAGCGGUAAAAAUGCGGUGCUCAACGCCGUCGAGCCGUUGAAACUGGCGU
rnacentral:rRNA from 1 species